rnacentral:rRNA from 1 species
UGGGGAAUAUUGCACAAUGGGGGAAACCCUGAUGCAGCGACGCCGCGUGAGUGAAGAAGCAUUUCGGUGCGUAAAGCUCUGUCAGCAGGGAAGAAAGAAGACGGUACCUGACCAAGAAGCCCCGGCUAACUACGUGCCAGCAGCCGCGGUAAUACGUAGGGGGCAAGCGUUAUCCGGAUUUACUGGGUGUAAAGGGAGCGUAGACGGCAGGGCAAGUCUGGAGUGAAAGGCCGGGGCCCAACCCCGGGACUGCUCUGGAAACUGUCCGGCUGGAGUACAGGAGAGGUAAGUGGAAUUCCUAGUGUAGCGGUGAAAUGCGUAGAUAUUAGGAGGAACACCAGCGGCGAAGGCGGCUUACUGGACUGUGACUGACGUUGAGGCUCGAAAGCGUGGGGAGCAAACAGG